rnacentral:misc_RNA from 1 species
UAUGUAUAGUUUCGUUUUCCGAGUGUGCCUAAGUGCGCCUGCGUUGAUUUUUCUGUCGAAACAUCAUUGAUUCAUGGUGUCCUCCACUUCUCACCCCUCUCUCUUGCCCGCUCGCUCUCGACGUGCAUUUCUUCUCUUGUAGCUCCCUCACUCGAGAGAGGGAACCCUCGAACGCGCACGCCGGUGCCCAUAGAGACAACAAAAACAAAGGGAGCCGAAACAGAUCGGACAUACGACACCCCACGGGUAGCAUCGCCUCGCUGUGAAGGGCGGCAACGGAGAUCGCCCACAGAAACAAGCAACGACACCACUCGCAGGAGGUGGUGGCGUGACGGUCGCCACCUAGCGGCUUUGCGGCGCAGUUCGCUCUUUUCCUUUUGCCCACUCUCGUCUUUCUUUUCUGUGUGUUCCCAACGAGCUGUGCGACCUCGCGGGACGACUUAAGCGGGUGUGUCAUCUCUUUUACCCCACCUUUCGCGGCCUCCUCCCUUCACCCGUCUUUCUGCGCCGCUCACGGCCACUUGAGCACGACUCCGCACUACAGCACCUGCUCUCUCGCUCCUCUGUCCUCACUACCUUUGUUUUGUGAACCUUUCCCUCAGGCACACCUCACCCUCUGAGGACCACUGCGCAGAGCAGACACCCCCCCCUCCUCCAUAUUCACAGGCUCGCGUGCGUGUGCGUGUGUGUGUAGCUCAUUCUGCGAGAUAGGGUCUAGGCGUCCUCCCCAUCCCUUUCUUCUUUUCGCUUCGUUUUUUUUUUUUUCGUUUGCGUGCGUGCGUGCAGUUUGUGAGGACUCAAGCGACUUUGUGUGAGAGCGGUGCCCCCCCCCCCACUCCGCUGCGUCUCCUGCGAGCACUCUCCUCUCCACCACCCACACCCCCAUUCAUCAUUGUCGGCUGCGUACAGUGCGCUUGCUUGUGCGUUUCUGUGUUUGCCAGGUGUUGACCAUCACGUGCUCUUUGAUUUAUUGUUGGUCGACUUCUCCCGCUCCGCUCCCCCAUUUUGCUUUCGAAUUGCCCCCGUGAUUGGUGGAUUAUCGCCGGUCUUGGGGUGCCCUUCAUUCCUUUCCUCUGCCUGCUGCUCUCCCCAUCUUCUUCGCUGUGUCUACUUCUCGGUCUUCACCUUCCGCUGCUGGUUGCUCCCGAAACGCCGCCUUUUCGGCUGUGUCGGCGUCUCGUGCGACGUGACGUGCCCAUCCCAGCUUGUCACGCUUCGCUCCCUUGUAAUCUGUGAUUGCCCACACACACAUAAUACGCGUUUUCGGCUCUCUUCGGGCGAUUUUCUCGUUUCCGCCUCAUAUAGGCAGAGAAGCGUGCGUGUGAGUCAGUGCGCCAAAGCGAGAUCGCAUUCGGGUGGUGUUGUAGAUCGCGCAGCGAGAAGCAGAGAGCUGAGACGGCACCGCUGGGGCGGAUACCCGCGGCAGACGUGCUCUUCUCUCCCCGCGGCAGCUGAUCACAAGCGGAGAGAAGCAAAACACAAAACGAGCGAGGCCCCAUCGCUGGACCGUUCGCUCGCACGCACUGCCGACCGCGCACACGCACACACACACACGCACACACACACACGCACACACACACACACACACACGCACGCACGCACUUAAACACAGAGAGAGAAGCACACGCGCCCUCUAUACACUUUUUUUUUCGCUUCGUUUUUUUUUUCUGCUGUGUCUCCCUGCGCCACUUUGUUCUGUUCCGCUGCUUCGAUUGCCGACCCCCCUCCCCAGGAGACACACACAUCGUACAUUCGUUUUCGUUUUUCUUUUUUUUCUUUGCUCCUUCGUUUACUUCAUCUUCUCGGAUUUCUGUUAUACAACGCGCUCACCCACUUCUUUCGUCCCUUUCCUCUGUCUCACUUCCGUGACGUCGCCCACGCCGUGUGAUGGCGGCAUCGUCUAUCCACGAAACGCCGGACAGCGGCGAGGUGUUUGCAGACCACGAGUUUAACAAGAACAACGCCGGCAUCACCGAUGAUUGGAUUUCGAUCAGGCAGCUGUACCCAGCUGGUGUGAACCAGCCGCUGCUGCCCGAAGUAUUCUCGCGCGAGCAGUUCGGCCAGGGCAACCACUAUGAAUGCUUCAUGCUCUCGGCACUUGCAACGCUGAUCCGCUUCCCGGAUGUGAUCCGCAACUGCUUUGUGACGAAGAAGGUGCGCCAGGAUGGCCGCUACACGUUCCAGUUCUUCCGCGGGCAGGAGUGGGUAAAGGUCGAGAUCGACGACCGCAUCGCCAUGGAAGAAGGCGAGGUGCUCUAUGCUCGCUCCCCGACUGAGCACUGGUGGCCGCUGCUGCUGGAGAAGGCGUACGCGAAGUUCUACACCGCCUACGACCACCUCGAGGGCUGCACCCUUUUAGAGACAUUCCACGACCUGACAGGCAACCCGGUGCUGAACAUCCCCAUGGACGCCAAGCUGGCCAAGGCGGCAAACUGCAAUGUGCUUGAAGGACGCUAUUGGCUCGACUUGGCACAGCGCAUCCAGUCUGGCGAGUUUGUCGCGUCAGCCCUCACAAAGGAUGUGGAGGUGGAGACAAUGGGUCUGCAGCGCGAGCAACAGUACGGCAUCCUCGACAUCUUCUCCCUCCACGGCACAUCCUCGCUGGAUGACAUUCUCGUGCAUAUGCACAAUCCUUUCGAAGAUGACGAGUUUCUCUACAGCGGCCCCCUCAACCCGAACGACUCGGCGUGGUCGGAGAAGCAGCGGGUCAAGUACGACGUCGGCAACCCGCGCUCCAUUUUCCUGCCACUGAACGUUUUUCUUCGCAUCGUCAAUUCGAUGCAGCUGUGCUACAUCAGCACCGUCGCCUCGGAUGCGACGUACUUUGAGGACGAGUGGAAGGGUGAGUCGGCCGGCGGCAACCCGACGUACGUCACGUGGCGCAAGAACCCGCUCUACUACAUCAGUAAUCACGGCACAGAGGCGGUGACUCUCUCCUUUGUGGUCAAGCAGGAGGACCAGCGGCACCGGAAGGGCCCGGAGGAGACAGCCACGUACAAGCAGUGUGGCAUGAUACUUUCCCAGUACUCCUACCUCUACCCGAUCCCGACCUUCUGGGUCACUGGUAACAACCACAAGCCCAUUCACAAGAGCCUCUUCCUCAACUCGCGCGAGGUGGCGAGCAGCGUCAUCGUCCCGCCGCAAUCACUCUGCUAUCUUGUGCCUUCCUGCAUGCAUCAAGGCGAAGAGGCCAAGUUCCUGCUGUCCGCCCACCGCAUGGUCCAUGAAGACUACAGCAACAUCACCAUAAAGAAGCUCACGGUCCCCGAGAUGGACUGGGAGAACCCUGCCGCAGGAACGGUGCAGCUUCAGAUGCGCACUAAGGACCGUCUCGACUUCUACGUUGAUGAACCCACCGACGUUCAUAUACUUCUCCACCAAACAAAGCCCUACGUCAGCCCCAAGACAGGCGGCGAUGCCAUGGCGCAGGACUACAUGGGCAUGUACCUCUACGACGACACGGACCGCAAGAUAGCCGGUGUGCACGCUGCCACGAACUUCCGCGAGACGAGCAUCAUCCACCGCCUCCCCCGCAGCGGUCGCUAUGCCAUCUCCAUCACGUGCCCGCGCGGCAAGGGCCACAUAACCGCCAACGUCACCAUUGUGUCUUCCUUUGGCAGCCAUAUUCGCCGCGUCAAUGCACCAGAGGACGCCGCCAUGCUGCCGGAUGAAGCGGAGAGCGUCGCAGAUAGCGAAGGCGUAGACACACGAGUCGCUCGCAUCGACUACAACCCGUUUCAGGAGCAGCCAGUCGAUGUGCGUGAGCACCCAGACAGUAACGUGCCAUUUGAGGAUCGCGGAUUUAUGCUGAGCAACCGCGAUGUGACAUCGGAGCCGUGGUUGCACAUCGGCGACCUUUACCCCGAAGGCAAGACGAGGCCGCUGCUGCCGAACGUGCUGAGCCGCGACCAAUUCGGGCAGGGUGCGAUGCACGAGUGCUGCUGCCUUACUGGGUUCGCCACUCUGAUCGAGAACCACCCCGACGUGAUCCGCAACUGCUUCAUCUCGAAGAACCCGCGCAAGGAUGGCCGCUACACGUUCCAGUUCCACCGCUACGGUCAGUGGAUCAAGGUGGAGAUCGACGACCGCAUUCCGAUGGUGAAGGGCGACACGGUGUUUUGCCGCUCGCCGACGCACCACUGGUGGCCGCUGCUGCUGGAGAAGGCGUACGCGAAGUUCUACACGCUUUAUGAGAACUUGGCGGGUUGCUCGCUCGCUGAAGUGUAUCACGACUUCAGUGGGUGCCCUGUCAUUAACACGCCGCUGGACGAAGUAACAGCAAAGUCGGUCGGGUUCGACAUAGCAUCUCCCGUUUACUGGGUGAGGCUGCGUGACGAGCUGCGCAUGACAGCCGUGGCGGCCCUAUCUGGCGACAACGCAGAGAGUCUGGGCCUGGCACCUCACCAGUUUUACGGAAUCCUCAACAUUCUUGCCACCUCUUCUCCCCCUCGCACCCUCAGCGAGGUCAUUGUGCAGCUGCACAACCCGUACGCGGAGAUUUCCUACACUGGCCCCAUGUCCGACCCAGCAGAUCCGCGGUGGGCGUCGCGAGAGAUGCGCCACUGCAACGCCACGCAGAAUACCAUCUUCGUGCCAGUCAACGUCUUCUUGCGCUCUUUCUUUACCAUCUCGCAGGCUCAUCUUCGCGGGCUCAUGGAACCGUGCUGGAACUUCCACAGCGAAUGGGGUGACGGCACGAACGGUGGCAACCCGUCGCUGCUCACGUGGCGUGAGAACCCGCUCUACAUCGUUCGCAACACAGGCAGCGAGGCAGUGGAGGUGAUGGGCAUGAUACGGCAACCGGACAAGCGGCACCAGCUACACGUGUUGCCCGAGCUGAGCUACGUGCGGUGCGACCUCCUCCUGGCACAGAGCAUAGAGACGGAUUCGAUUCCGACGUACCUCGUCACCCACAACAACCACGACGUGGUGCACAAGCGUGUCUUCCUCAACUAUCGCGAGGUGGCGAGCAAGAUUCGCGUUCCGCCGCAGUCACAGUGCUACCUUGUCCCAACAGCGAUGUACCACGAGAAAAGCAUCUUUCUGCUCUCGUACUGGUACCGGACACCAGCGGACGAGGGUGCGGUAAGCAUUGAACGCCUUCGCGUCAACGUCGCACGUGACUUACCGGCUGUCAAGCACGUCACACUGGUGCCCGAGGGGAAGGAUAGAGUCGACUUCUUCGUCGAUGUACCGACGGACGCACACAUUCUUCUCUCGCAAUGGAACCGCGACGCGCGCGGCGGUAGCAACGUGCGCACCGACAACUACGUUGGCAUGUACCUCUACGAUGACGCGAACCAGAAGAUGGCGCAGGUGUCGGCGGCGUCGAAUUUGAAGGAAAUCGGCCUGGUGGCACACCUGCCUGCUCAAGGCCACUACGUGCUCUCCAUUACGUGCCCGGCGGCGCGAGACGAGGAGGUGAAGUGCCGAGUCGAGAUUGUGUGCGUCGAGAUGGCGCGAGUGCGCAUCACAGAUGUGUACGAGAAUCCGCCGAGCUCUGAAGAGCUCGAGGGGGAGCCGCCGGUCGCACUAGUCGACAGUGAUACGGCGCGGAGUGAUGUUGGCGACGGCACUCAAUCCGUGGAGGCAACCGUGGAGACGCGGCCGCCUGCCAAUACGGAGGCGAAGGAGAGGGAGAAGACGCCCUCGCUCUCGUUUAUGCGUCCGCGGUACCAGGGCAUCUGGACGGAGGACCUCCUGCUCAUGGAGACCCCCGCCUUUGCAAAGAUGGCGGGGGAGAGAGAGCAGCUGAAAAAACACGCUUCGCAGCACGCGGCACGCAUGAACUCUCUCGAGAAUAAGAUGGAGGACAUGGCAACGAGGUUGGCCGAUGACAUGCACGACCAGGAGCGCGCUUUCCUCGGACCCGAGCUGGAAGGGGUACCGCUGGAGCUGCUUCCGUUGAACGAGGACGAGGAAUUCACUGGGCUGGAGCACGAGCUGCGAGUUGCCAUGAGGGAUCUACAGAAAAAUCGCGGCGACGUCGUGGCACUGCGCGAAACGCUCAAGGAGCGUGCGGGAGAGAUGGCGAAGAAGCUCAAGGAAAAUGAGCGCGAUCUCUUCCUCAACCCCAUGCCUUUGGGGAUCUCAUGUGAUGGUUUACCGCUUGACUCCGACCCGGAGUUCCACGCGCUCGAGGUGGCGCGGCUGCGCGAGCGUCAGGAGGAGUCGUGCGACGAGGCGAAGAUUCGCAAGCUGAACGACGCCCUCAACGAGCGUGCCGAGGGCUUGGCAAGGGCGAAGCUCGCGGCGGACCGGCAGUAUUUGAAGCCAGAGCAUCUGCGCGUGGCGGUAGAUGAGCUGCCGCUGAACGAUGAUCGCAACUUUAUUCUCAAGGAGGCACUACGACACGAAAAGCUGAAGAACUCGCGCGAGAGCGCCGCCGCGAUCGCUGCGUUGGGGAACGAGCUGAAUAACAUGGCAAAAGGGAUGGCGGCAGAGAUGCUAGCCAAGCAGCGCCCCAGCUACCUCGCACGGGAGCACCACGGACGGCGCAUGGAGGAUUUGCUUCUCAACGACAACGACGACUUCCUCAAGAAAGAGCGAAGGCGACGUGACUUGCUGAAGCAACCGAGCUCGGACAUGGACGUGGUGGCGGAGAUUGAAAAGGAGCUGAACGGAAUGGCGGAUGAGAUGGCCAGAGCGAUGAACGCAGCAGAGCGCCCACAAUACAUGAAAGCUAGCUACUAUGACAAGACCCUGAGUGAGCUGCCUCUGGAUACCGAUCCCAUCAUCGCCAGGCUAGAAGCUCAACGCGCACGACUCAAGCGCGACCCUGUGCGAAACGCAGAGGCCGUUCACGCGACUGAGGCAGCGAUUAUUAGCCGCGCUGAGGCGCUGGCAAAGGCAAUGAUCAAAGACGAGCGCGCGAGACUCUACGGCAAGCCAAGUGGAGUGCCCGUCAACUUGCUUGACCUCGAUGAGGACCAAGUCAUCCGACGUCUCGAGGAGGAGCGCAUGGAGCUCUUAAAGAUGCCUAACACGGACCCCCACGCUAUCGCCAGCAACGAGGAGAAGUUGAAGGCCCGCGCGGCAAAGAUUGCAGAGGACUUCCGUGAUAACAUGCGAGCCCAAAUCACGGGUGAGGGGCGCCGAAGCCCCUCCGUUAUGUCAAUUGGCAGUGACGCACCGUGCCAGGACCUGGAGGAGAAGCUCUACGCCCUCAUGUCCGAAGAUCCCAUCGCCAACGAGGACCAGAUCAACGAUAUCAAGGAUGCCAUUCGCAAGCGAAACGCUGAGCUAAAGCGGCAGGCCGUGCAAGCGCUACGUGCCUUCCUUGACGACAAGCCCUUCGGCAUUCUGUUGACUGAGGUGGGUCUUGACGACGAUCGUGAAUACAUGGAGAGAGAAGAGAAGCUCAAGAAGGGACAGGCUAGCAAUCUGCCCGCAGCACAGAUCACGUUCAUUCAGGAAGGCAUGCAACAUCGCGUGAACGAACUGGCAGCGGAGGAGCUGGCACGACGCUACCCAUUCAUCCACACACGCCCGGCCAGCAUCCCUCUCCCCGCGCUUCCGUCCGUAGGCAGAGACCAAGCUUUCUGGAAAGCCAUCGACAACGUCGACAAGGCAAAGAAUCACCACAACACGGCCACGUCUCAGCUACGCGCGUACGAAAAAUCUGUGAACGAACGACUCCAUCAAAUCGCAGAGGCCGCCAAAUGGAAAGAGCGUGACGGCUUUCUCGACUCUAGACCAGCACAUGUGCCAGUGAAAGCCAUUCCCCUCGACAAUGAUACAGACUUCGUCGACCUAGAAAGUAAGCGCCGACUAAGCCUCCAAUCAGGAGCUGAUCCGCAAUCCGACGACAUCCGGACACUCGAAAAAGCUCUAAGAACUCGCGCGCACGACCUUGCGUGCGACAAGAAGUGGGCGGACCGCGACAGGGUGCUGGACCCGAAGCCGGAGGGCGUGCCGCUGCGCUGCGUCCCGCUGGACGAGGACGCGGAGUUCGUGGCGCUGGAGGACGAGUGGCGCGGCCUGCUGCAGGACCCACAGCGCAACAGCAUGCCGCUGAAGGACCUGGAGAGAAGGAUGAACGACCGCGCGCACGACCUUGCGUGCGACAAGAAGUGGGCGGACCGCGACAGGGUGCUGGACCCGAAGCCGGAGGGCGUGCCGCUGCGCUGCGUCCCGCUGGACGAGGACGCGGAGUUCGUGGCGCUGGAGGACGAGUGGCGCGGCCUGCUGCAGGACCCACAGCGCAACAGCAUGCCGCUGAAGGACCUGGAGAGGAGGAUGAACGACCGCGCGCACGACCUUGCGUGCGACAAGAAGUGGGCGGGCCGCGACAGGGUGCUGGACCCGAAGCCGGAGGGCGUGCCGCUGCGCUGCGUCCCGCUGGACGAGGACGCGGAGUUCGUGGCGCUGGAGGACGAGUGGCGCGGCCUGCUGCAGGACCCACAGCGCAACAGCAUGCCGCUGAAGGACCUGGAGAGGAGGAUGAACGACCGCGCGCACGACGUUGCGUGCGACAAGAAGUGGGCGGGCCGCGACAGGGUGCUGGACCCGAAGCCGGAGGGCGUGCCGCUGCGCUGCGUCCCGCUGGACGAGGACGCGGAGUUCUUGGCGCUGGAGGACGAGUGGCGCGGCCUGCUGCAGGACCCACAGCGCAGCAGCAUGCCGCUGAAGGACCUGGAGAGGAGGAUGAACGACCGCGCGCACGACCUUGCGUGCGACAAGAAGUGGGCGGACCGCGACAGGGUGCUGGACCCGAAGCCGGAGGGCGUGCCGCUGCGCUGCGUCCCGCUGGACGAGGACGCGGAGUUCGUGGCGCUGGAGGACGAGUGGCGCGGCCUGCUGCAGGACCCACAGCGCAGCAGCAUGCCGCUGAAGGACCUGGAGAGGAGGAUGAACGACCGCGCGCACGACCUUGCGUGCGACAAGAAGUGGGCGGACCGCGACAGGGUGCUGGACCCGAAGCCGGAGGGCGUGCCGCUGCGCUGCGUCCCGCUGGACGAGGACGCGGAGUUCUUGGCGCUGGAGGACGAGUGGCGCGGCCUGCUGCAGGACCCACAGCGCAACAGCAUGCCGCUGAAGGACCUGGAGAGGAGGAUGAACGACCGCGCGCACGACCUUGCGUGCGACAAGAAGUGGGCGGACCGCGACAGGGUGCUGGACCCGAAGCCGGAGGGCGUGCCGCUGCGCUGCGUCCCGCUGGACGAGGACGCGGAGUUCGUGGCGCUGGAGGACGAGUGGCGCGGCCUGCUGCAGGACCCACAGCGCAGCAGCAUGCCGCUGAAGGACCUGGAGAGGAGGAUGAACGACCGCGCGCACGACCUUGCGUGCGACAAGAAGUGGGCGGACCGCGACAGGGUGCUGGACCCGAAGCCGGAGGGCGUGCCGCUGCGCUGCGUCCCGCUGGACGAGGACGCGGAGUUCGUGGCGCUGGAGGACGAGUGGCGCGGCCUGCUGCAGGACCCACAGCGCAGCAGCAUGCCGCUGAAGGACCUGGAGAGGAGGAUGAACGACCGCGCGCACGACCUUGCGUGCGACAAGAAGUGGGCGGGUCGCGACAGGGUGCUGGACCCGAAGCCGGAGGGCGUGCCGCUGCGCUGCGUCCCGCUGGACGAGGACGCGGAGUUCGUGGCGCUGGAGGACGAGUGGCGCGGCCUGCUGCAGGACCCACAGCGCAACAGCAUGCCGCUGAAGGACCUGGAGAGGAGGAUGAACGACCGCGCGCACGACGUUGCGUGCGACAAGAAGUGGGCGGGCCGCGACAGGGUGCUGGACCCGAAGCCGGAGGGCGUGCCGCUGCGCUGCGUCCCGCUGGACGAGGACGCGGAGUUCUUGGCGCUGGAGGACGAGUGGCGCGGCCUGCUGCAGGACCCACAGCGCAGCAGCAUGCCGCUGAAGGACCUGGAGAGGAGGAUGAACGACCGCGCGCACGACCUUGCGUGCGACAAGAAGUGGGCGGACCGCGACAGGGUGCUGGACCCGAAGCCGGAGGGCGUGCCGCUGCGCUGCGUCCCGCUGGACGAGGACGCGGAGUUCGUGGCGCUGGAGGACGAGUGGCGCGGCCUGCUGCAGGACCCACAGCGCAGCAGCAUGCCGCUGAAGGACCUGGAGAGGAGGAUGAACGACCGCGCGCACGACCUUGCGUGCGACAAGAAGUGGGCGGACCGCGACAGGGUGCUGGACCCGAAGCCGGAGGGCGUGCCGCUGCGCUGCGUCCCGCUGGACGAGGACGCGGAGUUCUUGGCGCUGGAGGACGAGUGGCGCGGCCUGCUGCAGGACCCACAGCGCAACAGCAUGCCGCUGAAGGACCUGGAGAGGAGGAUGAACGACCGCGCGCACGACCUUGCGUGCGACAAGAAGUGGGCGGACCGCGACAGGGUGCUGGACCCGAAGCCGGAGGGCGUGCCGCUGCGCUGCGUCCCGCUGGACGAGGACGCGGAGUUCGUGGCGCUGGAGGACGAGUGGCGCGGCCUGCUGCAGGACCCACAGCGCAGCAGCAUGCCGCUGAAGGACCUGGAGAGGAGGAUGAACGACCGCGCGCACGACCUUGCGUGCGACAAGAAGUGGGCGGACCGCGACAGGGUGCUGGACCCGAAGCCGGAGGGCGUGCCGCUGCGCUGCGUCCCGCUGGACGAGGACGCGGAGUUCGUGGCGCUGGAGGACGAGUGGCGCGGCCUGCUGCAGGACCCACAGCGCAGCAGCAUGCCGCUGAAGGACCUGGAGAGGAGGAUGAACGACCGCGCGCACGACCUUGCGUGCGACAAGAAGUGGGCGGACCGCGACAGGGUGCUGGACCCGAAGCCGGAGGGCGUGCCGCUGCGCUGCGUCCCGCUGGACGAGGACGCGGAGUUCGUGGCGCUGGAGGACGAGUGGCGCGGCCUGCUGCAGGACCCACAGCGCAACAGCAUGCCGCUGAAGGACCUGGAGAGAAGGAUGAACGACCGCGCGCACGACCUUGCGUGCGACAAGAAGUGGGCGGACCGCGACAGGGUGCUGGACCCGAAGCCGGAGGGCGUGCCGCUGCGCUGCGUCCCGCUGGACGAGGACGCGGAGUUCGUGGCGCUGGAGGACGAGUGGCGCGGCCUGCUGCAGGACCCACAGCGCAGCAGCAUGCCGCUGAAGGACCUGGAGAGGAGGAUGAACGACCGCGCGCACGACCUUGCGUGCGACAAGAAGUGGGCGGGUCGCGACAGGGUGCUGGACCCGAAGCCGGAGGGCGUGCCGCUGCGCUGCGUCCCGCUGGACGAGGACGCGGAGUUCUUGGCGCUGGAGGACGAGUGGCGCGGCCUGCUGCAGGACCCACAGCGCAGCAGCAUGCCGCUGAAGGACCUGGAGAGGAGGAUGAACGACCGCGCGCACGACCUUGCGUGCGACAAGAAGUGGGCGGACCGCGACAGGGUGCUGGACCCGAAGCCGGAGGGCGUGCCGCUGCGCUGCGUCCCGCUGGACGAGGACGCGGAGUUCGUGGCGCUGGAGGACGAGUGGCGCGGCCUGCUGCAGGACCCACAGCGCAACAGCAUGCCGCUGAAGGACCUGGAGAGGAGGAUGAACGACCGCGCGCACGACCUUGCGUGCGACAAGAAGUGGGCGGACCGCGACAGGGUGCUGGACCCGAAGCCGGAGGGCGUGCCGCUGCGCUGCGUCCCGCUGGACGAGGACGCGGAGUUCGUGGCGCUGGAGGACGAGUGGCGCGGCCUGCUGCAGGACCCACAGCGCAACAGCAUGCCGCUGAAGGACCUGGAGAGAAGGAUGAACGACCGCGCGCACGACCUUGCGUGCGACAAGAAGUGGGCGGACCGCGACAGGGUGCUGGACCCGAAGCCGGAGGGCGUGCCGCUGCGCUGCGUCCCGCUGGACGAGGACGCGGAGUUCGUGGCGCUGGAGGACGAGUGGCGCGGCCUGCUGCAGGACCCACAGCGCAACAGCAUGCCGCUGAAGGACCUGGAGAGGAGGAUGAACGACCGCGCGCACGACCUUGCGUGCGACAAGAAGUGGGCGGACCGCGACAGGGUGCUGGACCCGAAGCCGGAGGGCGUGCCGCUGCGCUGCGUCCCGCUGGACGAGGACGCGGAGUUCGUGGCGCUGGAGGACGAGUGGCGCGGCCUGCUGCAGGACCCACAGCGCAACAGCAUGCCGCUGAAGGACCUGGAGAGGAGGAUGAACGACCGCGCGCACGACGUUGCGUGCGACAAGAAGUGGGCGGACCGCGACAGGGUGCUGGACCCGAAGCCGGAGGGCGUGCCGCUGCGCUGCGUCCCGCUGGACGAGGACGCGGAGUUCGUGGCGCUGGAGGACGAGUGGCGCGGCCUGCUGCAGGACCCACAGCGCAACAGCAUGCCGCUGAAGGACCUGGAGAGGAGGAUGAACGACCGCGCGCACGACCUUGCGUGCGACAAGAAGUGGGCGGACCGCGACAGGGUGCUGGACCCGAAGCCGGAGGGCGUGCCGCUGCGCUGCGUCCCGCUGGACGAGGACGCGGAGUUCGUGGCGCUGGAGGACGAGUGGCGCGGCCUGCUGCAGGACCCACAGCGCAACAGCAUGCCGCUGAAGGACCUGGAGAGGAGGAUGAACGACCGCGCGCACGACCUUGCGUGCGACAAGAAGUGGGCGGACCGCGACAGGGUGCUGGACCCGAAGCCGGAGGGCGUGCCGCUGCGCUGCGUCCCGCUGGACGAGGACGCGGAGUUCGUGGCGCUGGAGGACGAGUGGCGCGGCCUGCUGCAGGACCCACAGCGCAACAGCAUGCCGCUGAAGGACCUGGAGAGAAGGAUGAACGACCGCGCGCACGACCUUGCGUGCGACAAGAAGUGGGCGGACCGCGACAGGGUGCUGGACCCGAAGCCGGAGGGCGUGCCGCUGCGCUGCGUCCCGCUGGACGAGGACGCGGAGUUCGUGGCGCUGGAGGACGAGUGGCGCGGCCUGCUGCAGGACCCACAGCGCAGCAGCAUGCCGCUGAAGGACCUGGAGAGGAGGAUGAACGACCGCGCGCACGACCUUGCGUGCGACAAGAAGUGGGCGGGUCGCGACAGGGUGCUGGACCCGAAGCCGGAGGGCGUGCCGCUGCGCUGCGUCCCGCUGGACGAGGACGCGGAGUUCGUGGCGCUGGAGGACGAGUGGCGCGGCCUGCUGCAGGACCCACAGCAGCAGCAUGCCGCUGAAGGACCUGGAGAGGAGGAUGAACGACCGCGCGCACGACCUUGCGUGCGACAAGAAGUGGGCGGACCGCGACAGGGUGCUGGACCGAAGCCGGAGGGCGUGCCGCUGCGCUGCGUCCCGCUGGACGAGGACGCGGAGUUCGUGGCGCUGGAGGACGAGUGGCGCGGCCUGCUGCAGGACCCACAGCGCAACAGCAUGCCGCUGAAGGACCUGGAGAGGAGGAUGAACGACCGCGCGCACGACUUGCGUGCGACAAGAAGUGGGCGGACCGCGACAGGGUGCUGGACCGAAGCGGAGGGCGUGCCGCUGCGCUGCGUCCCGCUGGACGAGGACGCGGAGUUCGUGGCGCUGGAGGACGAGUGGCGCGGCCUGCUGCAGGACCCACAGCGCAACAGCAUGCCGCUGAAGGACCUGGAGAGAGGAUGAACGACCGCGCGCACGACCUUGCGUGCGACAAGAAGUGGGCGGACCGCGACAGGGUGCUGGACCCGAAGCCGGAGGGCGUGCCGCUGCGCUGCGUCCCGCUGGACGAGGACGCGGAGUUCGUGGCGCUGGAGGACGAGUGGCGCGGCCUGCUGCAGGACCCACAGCGCAACAGCAUGCCGCUGAAGGACCUGGAGAGGAGGAUGAACGACCGCGCGCACGA